rnacentral:lncRNA from 1 species
GCCACUUUAUGCAGUGCUGGAAAUCUAUCACAGAGCCCGGGACACAUUAAGCACUCGUCCUAGAGACUGAGCCACAACCCCGGUCAAAAGUGGCAGAGUUGCAUCUUCUCAAGCGUUGGGAAAACUACAGGGAGGCAAGUUGCAGCAGCCAGGUGACAGGCGUAUAUGAAUACGGAUGUCAGCAUGUUGAUAAGGAAAAGUCCUGCCCAACUGCAUGGAAGGUUUCUUCAGGGAGAAGCUGAUUAAAGGGCAGAAGUGGACAUUGAUCUGUGGGGCUUCCAUUUUUGCAAGAAUGUAUCUGUGCCUGGUUGGUUUAAAUUAAAUACUAUCCAA